GGAAGGCGCAAGUAGGACACCUGCAUUACUUGCAAACAAGGCGCAAAAUUAAUAGAAGAUCACCAUACUUGUGGCUUUCUUGCAAGUCAUGCAGUUGCUGCCUCAAGCUUGCUGCCUCC
ncrna:Triticum aestivum miR444 stem-loop (tae-MIR444a)